AGCUCCAAUAGCGUAUACUAAUGUUGUUGCAGUUAAAAAGCUCGUAGUUGCAUUUCCGAGGCAAGGGAUUAGUCCGACCUUUGGUGGGUAUUUAAUCCUCUUGCCUCGUCCUUGAGUGGUGCUUCUUGGUAUUAAGUUAUCGAGGAGAUAGCCGCUCAUCGUUUACUGUGAGAAAAUUAGAGUGUUCAAAGCAGGCUUAUGCCGUUGAAUAUAUUAGCAUGGAAUAAUAAGAUAGGACCUCGGUACUAUUUUGUUGGUUUGAGAACCAAGGUAAUGAUGAAUAGGGACAGUUGGGGGUAUUCGUAUUCAGUUGUCAGAGGUGAAAUUCUUAGAUUUACGGAAGACGAACUACUGCGAAAGCAUUUACCAAGGAUGUUUUCA
rnacentral:rRNA from 1 species